UAACGGCGUGAAGCGGCAACAGAAAUUUGAAAUCCCCCCUUUGGGGUCCGAGUUGUAAUUUGUAGAGAGUGCGGGGGAGACCGCGAUCUAAGUCCCUUGGAACAUGGUGUCAUAGAGGGUGAGAAUCCCGUAUGUGACCGCGGCUCGAACCCAUGUGAAGCCUCUUCGACGAGUCGAGUUGUUUGGGAAUGCAGCUCAAAAUGGGUGGUAAAUUUCAUCUAAAGCUAAAUACUGGCUGGAGACCGAUAGCGCACAAGUAGAGUGAUCGAAAGAUGAAAAGCACUUUGGAAAGAGAGUUAAACAGUACGUGAAAUUGUUGAAAGGGAAGCGCUUGCAACCAGACCUGCCCGUAGGCGAUCAGCCGCUGUUCUCAGCGGUGCACUCGCUCUGCGAUCAGGCCAGCAUCGGUUUCGGCGGUCGGAUAAAGGCCUUGGGAAUGUAGCUUCCUUUCGGGGGAGUGUUAUAGCCCUCGGUGCAAUGCGGCCAGCCGGGACCGAGGACCGCGCUUCGGCUAGGAUGCUGGCGUAAUGGUUGUCAGCGACCCGUCUUGAAACACGGACCAAGGAGUCUAACAUCUAUGCGAGUGUUUGGGUGUCAAACCCAUGCGCGGAAUGAAAGUGAACGGAUGUGAGAACCCUUAAGGGCGCAUCAUCGACCGAUCCAGAUGUCUUCGGAUGGAUUUGAGUAUGAGCAUAGCCGGUGGGACCC
rnacentral:rRNA from 1 species